AACGAACGCUGGCGGCAGGCUUAACACAUGCAAGUCGAACGGUUGUAGCAAUACAGCAGUGGCGCACGGGUGAGUAACGCGUGGAUAUCUGCCUUUUGGUUCGGAAUAACUCCGGGAAACUGGAGCUAAUACCGGAUGGUUCCUACGGGAUAAAGAUUUAUCGCCAAAAGAUGAGUCCGCGUACGAUUAGCUAGUUGGUGGGGUAAUGGCCCACCAAGGCGACGAUCGUUAGCUGGUCUGAGAGGACGAUCAGCCACACUGGGACUGAGACACGGCCCAGACUCCUACGGGAGGCAGCAGUGGGGAAUAUUGGACAAUGGGGGCAACCCUGAUCCAGCCAUGCCGCGUGAGUGAUGAAGGCCUUCGGGUUGUAAAGCUCUUUUGGCGGGGACGAUGAUGACGGUACCCGCAGAAUAAGCCCCGGCUAACUUCGUGCCAGCAGCCGCGGUAAGACGAAGGGGGCUAGCGUUGUUCGGAAUUACUGGGCGUAAAGCGAGUGUAGGUGGUUGUCAUAGUCAGGUGUGAAAGCCUUGAGCUCAACUCAAGAAAUGCACUUGAUACUGGGCGACUAGAGGACCGGAGAGGAUAGUGGAAUUCCCAGUGUAGUGGUGAAAUACGUAGAGAUUGGGAAGAACACCAGUGGCGAAGGCGGCUAUCUGGACGGU
rnacentral:rRNA from 1 species